GCUUGUCUCAAAGAUUAAGCCAUGCAUGUCUAAGUACAAGCCUCAGUAAGGUGAAACCGCGAAUGGCUCAUUAAAUCACACCUAAUCUACUGGAAAGUUACUAGUUACUUGGAUAACUGAGGUAAUUCUUGAGCUAAUACAUGCGUCAAUACCCUUCUGGGGUAGUAUUUAUUAGAUUGAAACCAACCGCUUCGGCGUGAUGUGGUGACUCUGAAUAACUUUGGGCUGAUCGUAUGGCCUUGUGCCGACGACGUUUCCUUCGAAGGUGUGCCCUAUCAACUGUCGACUGUGAUAUAGACGCUCACAGUGGUUUUGACGGGUAACGGGGAAUCAGGGUUCGAUUCCGGAGAGGGAGCCUUAAAAACGGCUACCACAUCCAAGGAAGGCAGCAGG
rnacentral:rRNA from 1 species